GAAUACGGGCUAGGGCUAGAAAUGAGAAAGUCAGGGUAUUUAAGGAGAAUGUGGGAGGGAAGGGCAGGAAAAGAAUAGGUCAGUCAGGAUUGUAAAAACUAGGGUGACAGAAAAGAGAGGUUACAAUUUUUAUUUCCAUGAAAAUAGAAAAAUAAAUAGAAAAUAGAAACAAGAAGUACUUGGUAACUGUAUAAGUUAUAAUAUAAUGUCAUGUUGUCCACAGCUAUGCAAUCUUCUUACACUAGCCCAAUUUUGUUUAUUGCAUAAGUGUUGCAUUAGGAUGUUGGCCUUGGUUUUCAGUUAGUGCGAGUAUCUUAUCCAUAACACACAGCUAAGGUACCAGGUUAAGAUUGCAGACUCAAAGGUGCAGGUUAAAGAAGCUCCUGAGUAGUGGCAGUGGAUAUUUAAAUUGUGAUAGGGCUGUUCUGCCACGUGAGCAGUUUUUAAUUUUUGAACAAGUUGGCUUUGGAAUGGCAAGCCAGUCUCAUGAACACGCCGACAGGCUCGGCAGCUUUGCAAAGGUGUCUCAGGAUGCAGCAGGGUGUAAUUGCAUUGUAUGCCAUGGUCUUUGCAAGACCAGUUAACGAUGCCAAAAUCCAUUUUUAAAAAGUCAAUGUUUGUUGACCACACUAUAUUUAAAAAAACCCAACAGUUUGUGUGAAAUGGCCUCACAACUGUUUGUGAGCAAUUGCACAACACUCUUGAACCUCACUCACAAGGGGAUGGGGAAUGGAGAGAGACAGGAAGUGCCCGUGUCAGGGCAGAAUGGGCAGGCAGGUGGGUGGCAGCUCUUCCCUGGGAAGAAACUGGGAAAGGAAAAGCGGCAGAUGUUCUUUCCUUGCCAACACUGAGCAGCCCUGCAGCUGGAGCUCAGAUCCCAGAGGGAGGAACUCGGCCAACUGCUCCAUUUGGCAGGAAAAUGGUUCCCUUCCCUCUAGCCAAGCCAAGAGUGACUCACUGGCAGGAUGAGCUCAGCGUCCCCCUGACCCAUAUUUCACAAGACUCUGAAUGUUGCUCGGACUAAAAAGGGCCAGAAGUGGGAGAAAGCCAGGUGGGCAGAGGGCAGGAAAAUACAGAAAGGAAUAAAAUGAGCACAGGAAGCCUAUGUCAUGAAAGUUGGCGACUGCGGGGGUGGGGGGGAAGACAUGAGAUUCAUCUUUCUGCAAGGAAGCAAAUUUGGUCCGAAUAAUGUCUGGGUUUGGGCUGAGGGUACUGACCAAUAGUUGGAGGACACAGUAUAGUUAUGCUAACUUUUCCAAUCCACCAGUACGCUGGGUUAGAGGGUCAUGCCACACAGCUUAUGAAGUUCCAAUGGCAGCCUCAAGGCAGGUCCUGGGGCUGAUACCACCUGCUUCAUAUCCCCUAAACACACCUGGAUCCACUAGCCACUCCCACCUAAAAUCUCAACAUGGAUAUAUUCUAGUCUUCUCCCAAAAAUUCAACACAAUUCUCUCUCUUUUCCUGAGGAUGCUCUUUGGUGAACAAAAUGACCUUCCAAGCUUAUUUAGGCUGUUUCAUGUUAUACAGCAUCAAACCUGGGCUUUCCAUUGAGCAUACACAUCUGUUCAUUUCAUCCUCCUUGAACGUGUACAAUCAAAUCAGUUGAUAUCAUGUAAAUUCAAGGACUGUCAUCAGACAAGGUGAUUAUAUCAAUAGGCCACACAGAUUGGCUUUAGGAAGUGUGGUCCACAAGACCAUGGCCAAAAGCUAGCUUCUUGAAUCUACCCAUAUUUUUUUUUAUUUGCACUCUGAAUUUCACAUUUCAAAAGGUCUGCCCUGAUAAAAGCCAAUGACAUCAAAGCAGGAUGGAGCCAACUGUAAAUCUAUGCUGAAAUUGAGAUUUACCAAGUAGCUGCUGUAACUUUCCACCCAUCUCUCCCCCCACCCCCAGCUGUUGGAUUUACUCAGGAAAUUAGAUUGAUCAGGCUCAUUGGCUCUUUGAUGUUGAAAAUUACGAGCAACUGAGCAUUAAAAGCUGGUGAAGGUACAGCCAGGCACUUGGGGUAGAGAAUCUGUCCCUAGGCAUGGAAAACUCACCUUUGUCAGAUGAAAGGGGCUUGUAGUCAAUUGGCACCAGUGGAAUCAGAAGCAUGGAGGUGAGCCCAGGGAUCCCAGUUCUCCUAAAGUCCAUAACCCUCAAGGUCAGAGGCUGUUGAACAUGGCUCCCAUGACCUUAUGACUGCCCAAGAAGAGGCAGUCAAUUGAAAGCCAUACACACAGAAGUGGCAAGCACUGAUCAAGCAGUUCUGCCUGAUGAACCAAUUGUGAUAAAGCAGGAGAAAAGCUGUGAGUUAGGCAGGUUAGGCAACACAUGUGGGUUAGGCGGGCAGAGGUUGUGAGUUAUUAGGCCAGCAGAGGGCAGUUAGUUGCACUCUCUACCUGGCCUGGGACUGGAGUGGGCGAGGACGUCUCGGGCGAUUCCUUGUUCCUCUUCUUCUUGCCUCUCCCUCUCCUUUUGCCCUUGCCCUUUCCUUUGCCCUUGCCUUUCUUGCCCUUCCUGCGGGGAAUAUUCUGGAUGAGGGGUGGGUCAGGAGAAGGGGGGAAACAAUGAAGGAAAGGGAAAGGGGGAGAGAGAGAAAGCAGGCACUUGAGAAAGAAGAGACACCUCACCAUACCCAUGGAACACCAAGAGACACCACCCUCACACCCAGCCACCAGGAACCCAUUGCCAAGAGACAGAUGGGUAGAGGGGGACACAGUAUCAACCCUUGUAGGAGCCACACACAAGAGAGAUCCUUCACCCAUCAGACUCAUCCUUUUUCUUUGCAUUCAUCCCUUCUUGCUUUGAUGAGCAUUGAACCAAGGUACCUUUCUGAGGUAGAUAGCUUUGAUCUAGUGGCAAUGUACAAAGUCCCCUUCAGCCUCUACGCUCACACUCGGGCCCCAUUCUGUCAUUCUCAGAGUCCUGCUAUAUGCCUUUGGGAUCACCCAAACUCCACCCACUCUCAUGUGUACACUCUAGGUUCUGCAUUGGCCCCUUUCUGCAGGCUUUGGGUCCACCUGAUGGAACUAAGUGGAUGCAAGCAUCCCAUGCAUAGAGGCUAUUCACACAUGUGUGCAAAACUGGGCUAAGGGAGCCCAAACCAGUUUUGCAUGCGUGUGUGAACCGCUGGGAUAACGGUGGCAAACCCGCCUAAGUAGCCUCCCUCUAAAAUGAGGUUAAGGGAGCGAGCACUCCCUUAAUUCAUUUUUUUAAAUUGUGUGUCAUGGCUACUUGUUGGCACACUCGGGGGUGGGGGUGGAUACCAAUAAUGCACUGCGCAUUCGCACGGUGCAUUACUGGACCUCCUGGGAGUGGGGCAGAGUGGCACACUGCGGCAUGUCCCGGCACCCAGAGCUGCCAGGCAAGCCGCCGGUUGUCUGGGCGGACAAUCUGCCUCCCCAGAGAAGGCAUGGAGAUUGUCUGCGGGGAAGGUAAGUUAAACCCUCCUUCCCUGCAGAUCGCCCCGGAGCUUUUCACCAACUGUGAGAAGAGCUCCAGAGCCUACUAUUCCAGUGCAAGAUCCAACCAAAACAGGAAACAGCAGAGAGCUGUGUAUCAGGAUAGUGGCUGGGUGACAGAUGCAGUUUUAAUCACACUGGAAAGUGUGUGUCCUGGUUCCAGAGAUCCACUUUCCCAGGCAAUAGGUUAACAUGAAUUGACUUCUCCCCACAAAAGUCAACAAGCUCUGCUUCAUCUUUUGGGUGACACUGCAACUGCUCUGCCACUUCUCCAUCCCCUGCCCCCCCCCACCUCUCCCUCCCCCCAGUAAGCAAUUUAAGAGGUCAGGCUGCAUGGAUUCUUCAGUUCCUUUAACCAUUUGUGUGCUUACUGAAGCUCUGAAUUUGAGAUGCCUGGAACUGGCAUGACUGUUAUCCCAAGGAUAUUAUCAUUAUUGGCUCACAUGCUGCAUGGUGUGAUGAAGGCACUUACAGAGCUACCUACCCUGUUGUGAGGCUCUAGGAAACAUGCCUGCACUGUUGUGGAGCUGGACUCUUCUGCUCCCACUAACUGUUGCACAAUCACACAUCAUGAAUCUGCUUCCAUUAUUCGCAAUGGAAGCAGCAUUACAACAUGCAGUUGCACAACAGUUAGUAGGAAGAGAACGGCCUGGUUCCACAAUGGCACAGGCAUGUUUCUUAGAGCCUCGCAACAGCAAAGGUGGCUCUGUGAUCACCUACAUUAUGCUGCGCAGCAGGCGAGCUGUAUCACUUGUAUGUAUUACUUUCCAACAAAAUGUUCUCAAUGCUGUUUACAUAGUAAAAAGAAUGAGAAGGUGGUUUCCUGUCCCAAGAGGGCUCGCAAUCUAAAACAAAAUACAAAGGAGAUACCAGCAAAUGUCCCUUACUACUGAAGAACUGAGCAUAAUUAAUAAGCCAGGUGCCAGCUCUAUCCUCAGGGGAGGUUUUCUUCAUUGGUUAAACCAGUGGGCCCCUGCAGAAGAGAUCAGUCCAUGACCGGUGCCCAGCCUGUUCAUCCCAGGGGUUCUGGCUACAAGUGGGGUCGCCUACCUCUUCAGGAUACUGGGCAUGCAAGACAUAGGUGAGGGGCAGGUUGCAAUCAGGCAUAUAAUGCUGGCAAUACUGUGCUGCGGCUGCGGGAUCCGGAACAAUCAGCAGCUGCUGCAAGUCACCCUGAAGGGGAGAAAAAGAAGAGUGAGCAUAGCUCAUCAGAAUCUCUUUUGUGAACAUGUACCUACCACAUAUACACAUACACAAUUGCUGGAGGCACAAGCCAUGCGGUUGUGCAUGUAUUGUCAAUGUCUAUUGGUAGCACAUGCAUGCUCAUACAUGUGCAUAUCUAUGUGUGGACUGCAGUGCUGAAUGAGGAAAGGAAGAUGUCAGAGAAACAUAAAAGAAGGAAGCUUCUAUCUUCUCUUCAGUAGAGUUGCCAACCCUCCAGGAUUGGCCUGGAGCCUCCAGGAAUCAGCAUCAAUCCCCAGGAAAGCUUGAAAAGUGAUCUUGGAUAUUUUAAUGGCAUGAUACUGUGAAAUAUAUUGGAAAAAACACUGGGGGGGGGGACCGCAGGGGCAGCUUCAGUCAGAGUUGGCAAGCCUACUAAACACUUCACAUACAUUCUCUCAAUAACCCAUUACAGAGAAGGAAGUGAGGUGAACAUGAGGGUGUAUAGAUCUCAAACGGCCAUCCUGUGAGCUGGAUUUGAAUUUAGGGAGGAAGUGUUCAUAGUUCACGCUCUUAACCACUAUGCAACUCUCAGGAUGAAGUUACCCUAUCUAAUAGGAGUGCAACAAAAAUCCAAAGCUAUCAAGGAAUAUGCAGAUUUCAGCUGCAGGCCACCACAGGGACAGUCACCAAGAUCUUUCCAGUCCAGGGGUAGGGGCUUCAAUCAGUUAGCCAGCCUGCAGGGCCUGGUAAACUGGAUUUCUCUAUUUCAAUGGCCUCAACCUAUCCUUUGAAUUGGCCUAAAGUCCUAUACCCAUCCACAUCAAUUCAGCUCCAAUCCUGACUUGAUUGUCCUAUUUGCUAGCAAAGCUACAGUUCUUGGCCUACACCACCUAACCUCUCUUCUACAGCAUUCUGCUCCUGUUCUUCCUUGCCUGCUCUUUGCUCUCAUGCAGAAAUGGCUCCCAAGACACCAAAGUGCUUCCAUUUGCCCAGCUGUGAAGUUCAUCUCGCUCCUAAGUAGAUUGGGUAUGGACCUAGCAAUCAACUAAUCUGCAAGUCUCUGAGCCACACUAGGAUUUACUGCCUUUUGGACCUUCUCCAGAGAACAACUAUUCAAGAAACACAGAAUUUUUCCUCCAGUCAAUCAUACAGCCUAGCAAAGGGCUCUGUGCCAUCUGAAAGCCUGCAUACUUGUACACGAACAGACAUUGGUGCAAUAAAGAAUGUUGAAUCAGC